rnacentral:tRNA from 1 species
GCCUGGGUGGCUUGGUCGGUUGAGCGUCUGACUUCGGCUCAGGUCAUGAUCUCAUAGUUCGUGGGUUCGAGCUCCACACUGGGCU